GCGGGAUUAGUACAGCGGCUAGUAUGCCUGCCUUCCAAGCAGGAGACACCGGUUCGAUUCCGGUAUCCCGCACCA
rnacentral:tRNA from 1 species